AGAGUUUGAUCCUGGCUCAGGAUGAACGCUAGCGACAGGCUUAACACAUGCAAGUCGAGGGGCAGCGGGGGUAGCAAUACCCGCCGGCGACCGGCGCACGGGUGAGUAACGCGUAUGCAACUUACCUAUCAGAGGGGGAUAGCCCGGCGAAAGUCGGAUUAAUACCCCAUAAAACAGGGGUCCCGCAUGGGAAUAUUUGUUAAAGAUUCAUCGCUGAUAGAUAGGCAUGCGUUCCAUUAGGCAGUUGGCGGGGUAACGGCCCACCAAACCGACGAUGGAUAGGGGUUCUGAGAGGAAGGUCCCCCACAUUGGUACUGAGACACGGACCAAACUCCUACGGGAGGCAGCAGUGAGGAAUAUUGGUCAAUGGCCGAGAGGCUGAACCAGCCAAGUCGCGUGAAGGAAGAAGGAUCUAUGGUUUGUAAACUUCUUUUAUAGGGGAAUAAAGUGGAGGACGUGUCCUUUUUUGUAUGUACCCUAUGAAUAAGCAUCGGCUAACUCCGUGCCAGCAGCCGCGGUAAUACGGAGGAUGCGAGCGUUAUCCGGAUUUAUUGGGUUUAAAGGGUGCGUAGGUGGUGAUUUAAGUCAGCGGUGAAAGUUUGUGGCUCAACCAUAAAAUUGCCGUUGAAACUGGGUUACUUGAGUGUGUUUGAGGUAGGCGGAAUGCGUGGUGUAGCGGUGAAAUGCAUAGAUAUCACGCAGAACUCCGAUUGCGAAGGCAGCUUACUAAACCAUAACUGACACUGAAGCACGAAAGCGUGGGGAUCAAACAGGAUUAGAUACCCUGGUAGUCCACGCAGUAAACGAUGAUUACUAGGAGUUUGCGAUACAAUGUAAGCUCUACAGCGAAAGCGUUAAGUAAUCCACCUGGGGAGUACGCCGGCAACGGUGAAACUCAAAGGAAUUGACGGGGGCCCGCACAAGCGGAGGAACAUGUGGUUUAA
rnacentral:rRNA from 1 species